GAAGAAGAAGAAAGACACUCCUGGAAGGUUCGUUGUCCUUCUCUUUUUUCUUCUUCUUUUUUUUCUUCUUC
rnacentral:ribozyme from 14 species